UCAAAAUUGAAGUUUCUAAAGCAAAUUAUUGUCAUCACAAUAGUUUUCCUUUAAAAAAAAAAUCGAGUUUCAGUACCUGGAUUGAAUAUAACUCUAGUACAAGACUAAAUUUCAUUGAUAGCAGAAUCCAGUACUCAAUAAGAACAGAAUCAAGUACUUGGGACACGGUAGAAUAACUGCCUCCUGAUUCAGCCAUUGUUUAAGUCAAGUCACAAAUCAAGAAACAUUAACUGUAACUUCUGGGAUUCGCCAACAAGAAGCUAAUUUUUUUGUUAAAUCCUCCUCCAUUACUGCAGUUAAACCACAAAUACCACAAAAAAAUUCUGAGGGUAAAUGCCCUGUAUCUACACCUGCUAAGAUUUCAGUUAUUAAAUCCUCAUUACACUCUAUUUAUUGAUUGAAAUUUUAUUGUCUCACAAUGGAAAAAUGACAAUUUUAUUUCUUUUGUAUGUGAGAAGGAAAUAAAAUUAAAAUAUAUUGGAUUAUAUAAAACUAAAACCCUUUAAAAAUAAAUUUAAGAUUUAUCUUUA